ensembl:lncRNA
CCUGACUCCUGGCUCAGCAAUGAGAAAUGGAAGUACAGGAAUUCCCAUGGUGAAUGCUGGAGGGAGAGAGCUCUCUUAAGAGUGAAGUUUAACAGCUAAGGGAACAGUUACAUAAAAAGGAUGAAUGAGCAACAACAAAAGAGGAAGGCUGGGAUCAUAUAAUCUGAAAACUGGAACCACCAUUUAUGAUUUCCUAUUUAGAUAUAUAAGGUGACUGUGAGUGCUUGCCACAUGGUUCAGAAGGGGCUGUGUGACACAUUGGCAGAAGAAGCCUGUCCCCUUCCAUUGUCUGGCUCAAGAAUGGGUAACUGCUGAGGGAUAAGAAAGCAGCUAGGGGAGAAAACAAAGGAACAGAUGAAGCAAUACAGAAGUGUUGAGAAGAAUGGAACAUUGUUAGAGCUAAAACCCUGUUAGAUGCCACAGCUUAGAUGUUAUGCUGUGUUAGGACAAGGAACAGAAAAAGAGUAACUUAUUGGUGCAGCAGGAAAAUAUGCAAUUGAUCUGUUGGAUCAUUCUUACAAAAUAAUGCUUCCUUCUGUUUGACAGUAUCUACAUAGGAGUG